UACGUAGGGUGCAGGCGUUAAUCGGAAUUACUGGGCGUAAAGCGCACGUAGGCGGCUUUGUAAGUUAGAGGUGAAAGCCCGGAGCUUAACUCCGGAACUGCCUUUAAGACUGCAUCGCUCGAAUCAUGGAGAGGUCAGUGGAAUUCCGAGUGUAGAGGUGAAAUUCGUAGAUAUUCGGAAGAACACCAGUGGCGAAGGCGACUGACUGGACAUGUAUUGACGCUGAGGUGCGAAAGCGUGGGGAGCAAACAGG
rnacentral:rRNA from 1 species